rnacentral:rRNA from 1 species
GACGAACGCUGGCGGCGUGCUUAACACAUGCCAGUCGAACGGAAAGGCCUGCUUUCCCUUGUGGAUUGCGGGUACUCGAGUGGCGAACGGGUGAGUAACACGUGAGUGAUCUGCCCCCAACUUGGGUAUAAGCCUGGGAAACUGGGUCUAAUUCCCGAUAGGACUGCAGGGUGGUGCCUGUGGUGGAAAACGAUUUUCUAGUGGUUGGGGAUGAGCUCGCGGCCUAUCAGCUUGUUGGUGGGGUAAUGGCCUACCAAGGCGGCGACGGGUAGCCGGCCUGAGAGGGUGGACGGCCACAUUGGGACUGAGAUACGGCCCAGACUCCUACGGGAGGCAGCAGUGGGGAAUAUUGCACAAGGGGCGGAAGCCUGAUGCAGCGACGCCGCGGGGGGGAUGACGGCCUUCGGGUUGUAAACUCCUUUCGACCGCGAGGAAGCCACCUGGUUGGAAGGGUGGUGACGGUAGUGGUAGAAGAAGCACCGGCUAACUACGUG